GAUCACCAUUUGAUUUUGUUAUCUGUGCAGGUGUUUGUUCGAUCUUAUUGGCUUCUUCAUAUUUUGCAUUUAAAUUUGGAUUAUUGUUAUUCAUCAAGACGUGGCAGUCUACUCCCCUAUUUUGGGUGUCACGAUCAAAAUAGCAGUAGGACAUCAAGCUACUGAUAUUAAGGUGUUCUUAUGUUUGUUUGGUGGGCUUUCAAGCCACUUGUGUUUGCAUUUUGUCCAAAACUCAUGAAGACUGAAGGUAUGCCUGGAAAAUCUUCAGUUUUAGGGAUCAAAGGAUCAUCUGGCGUAAUUAUGGAAAACAAUGAAUUGUCAGUGUUUUGCUGCUGAUCAUGUUUGCUGUUUUGCCAUCCAGGAUCUUCAGAAGAAUAGCCGGCAUAUCAUAUCAGGCACAUGUGGAGCCAAUUCAGAUCAUAGGCGGUAGAAGCAGUCCGAAGGUAAUGCAUUGCAG